rnacentral:rRNA from 1 species
CAUGCAGGCGGUUAGACAAGUCAGGUGUGAAAUCCCCGCGCUUAACGUGGGAACUGCGUUUGGAACUGUCAGACUAGAGUGCGUCAGAGGGGGGUGGAAUUCCGCGUGUAGCAGUGAAAUGCGUAGAGAUGCGGAGGAACACCGAUGGCGAAGGCAGCCCCCUGGGAUGACACUGACGCUCAUGCACGAAAGCGUGGGGAGCAAACAGGAUUAGAUACCCCUGUA